GAUGAACGCUGGCGGCGUGCCUAAUACAUGCAAGUCGAGCGAACAGACGAGGAGCUUGCUCCUCUGACGUUAGCGGCGGACGGGUGAGUAACACGUGGAUAACCUACCUAUAAGACUGGGAUAACUUCGGGAAACCGGAGCUAAUACCGGAUAAUAUAUUGAACCGCAUGGUUCAAUAGUGAAAGACGGUUUUGCUGUCACUUAUAGAUGUAUCCGCGCCGCAUUAGCUAGUUGGUAAGGUAACGGCUUACCAAGGCAACGAUGCGUAGCCGACCUGAGAGGGUGAUCGGCCACACUGGAACUGAGACACGGUCCAGACUCCUACGGGAGGCAGCAGUAGGGAAUCUUCCGCAAUGGGCGAAAGCCUGACGGAGCAACGCCGCGUGAGUGAUGAAGGUCUUCUGAUCGUAAAACUCUGUUAUUAGGGAAGAACAAAUGUGUAAGUAACUAUGCACGUCUUGACGGUACCUAAUCAGAAAGCCACGGCUAACUACGUG
rnacentral:rRNA from 1 species